rnacentral:lncRNA from 1 species
UGGUGUGGUAUUGAAGAGAAACAAGCACUCAUACGCACACACACACAUCUGUAGACAGAUAAGAUAAUAAGAGAAAGAAACAAUGAAUUUCAAGGUAAAAAGAAUAAGAAAAAGGAAUUGUAGGCUUUAUAGAAAAUCAGAUUCCAUGUGGACUCUCAGGUGCAAUUUUAUUUUUCUUGAACCAUUUUGAGCAAUCUGGUCCACUUGCAUCUUUACUUCCGAUGCAGCUUGGAAAAAGGAAGCCAAGUUCUUGGUACAACCAAGGUGAAAACUGGCUAUUAAUUUCAUGCAUGCAUGUGUCUGAUUGCCACUUUAACUUUAGAUGGCAUAGUAUACAUGCUACGUGUAUCCAAACUGCUUUGAGAACUUACUAUGCCUCUCUUCUCACUUUAUCUAAUAUAGAUAAAUUAUUGACUUCUGUUUGAUUUCCCUUCAGGAACAUACUAGUUUCCGUGAUAAGGUCUAAACUUGUGUUUUAGUACAAAUUGUUUUAAAAUUCCAGUUAUCAAUGCUUUCAGUAGUUUUAUGCAUUUGUUUGACAUAACAUCUUACAACAACAAUUCUAAAUUUUCUUUUACAGCUGGUCAACAUCAUAUGAAGAGCUGCUUUCAACUAACGAGCCUUUUGCAGAGCCAAUACCCUUACCUGUAAGACUCUAUACCAGUACCUGUGAGAAUCUAUCUAAUUCAUGAAAUGUACGUUUUCACAUGGAUGUAUUACUUAAAAGAAUGCACAUAGCAAUAUUGAAAAAGUAUUGUAGGAGCUUGUGCUUUUUAGAAUGUGAUUGAUUGACAGAAUCUGGAAAUUAAAUCUUAAGAAUAAAAAAUCACUUGUAGAAUUAUGUCGAUGCUCUUUAGAGUAGAAGUUUCUUCAGUCCCUUCUCUGUUUUAAGAUUGAAGAUGGUUUAGUAGCUUUACCUGCUAUUAGAUUCGCGUAAAUCUUAAAUGUUGUUGUCUUUUAAAGCAUUCCAGUAUUAUAUGGUUAUUCAAUUCAAAGCUUUCUGUAUAUCUCCUUCAUGUACUGAUGCAAAUUUGGUGAGCCGAUUUCUCAUGCAUGAGAUGGUAGAUUUCUUAGUAGAUAUUUGGUAUGAUGAAGAAGGCAUCUUUGACUAAAUUGUUGAAACUCCUAGUUAAUGGCAACUGAAACAAGGAGCUGUGUAAAGCCUUUAACCUGCAUUGACCUCCAUUUCUCUUGUAGGUG